UGUCCCCGAGUUCUGGCGGGAGCAGCGCGGUGUCCCCAAAUCCUGGCGGGACAUCCAGGGUGUCCCCGAGUUCUGGCGGGAGCAGCGCGGUGUCCUCAAAUCCUGGCGGGACAUCCAGGGUGUCCCCGAGUUCUGGCGGGAGCAGCGCGGUGUCCCCGAGUUCUGGCGGGACAUGCGGAGUGUCCCCGAGUUCUGGCGGGAGCAGCGCGGUGUCCCCAAAUCCUGUCACAACAUCCAGAGUGUCCCCAAAUCCUGUCACAACAUCCAGAGUGUCCCCGAGUUCUGGCGGGAUAUGCGGAGUGUCCCCAAAUUCUGUCACGACAUCCAGAGUGUCCCCGAGUUCUGGCGGGACAUCCCCAAUGUCCCCAAAUCCUGUCACAACAUCCAGGGUGUCCCCGAGUUCUGGCGGGACAUCCAGGGUGUCCCCAAAUUCUGUCACGACAUCCAGAGUGUCCCCGAGUUCUGGCGGGACAUCCAGAGUGUCCCCGAGUUCUGGCGGGACAUCCCCAAUAUCCCCAAAUCCUGGCGGGAUAUCCAGAGUGUCCCCAAAUCCUGUCACGACAUCCAGAGUGUCCCCAAAUCCUGUCACGACAUUCCCAAUAUCGCCAAAUCCUGCCGCGACCCCCUCGGUGUCCCCAAAUCCUGUCGCGACCCCCUCGGUGUCCCCAAAUCCUGGCGGGACCCGCCCCGAGCGCUGCACGCUGCUCUAGGGGCGCGACCCCGAAUCCGCCGGAUUUUCACCCAAAAACGGGCAAAAAGUGGCGAAGUUUUGUACCAAAAACGGGCAAAAAAUGUUCAAGUUUUGUACUAAAAAUGAGCGGUAAAUGUUCGAUUUUUGUACCAAAAAUGAGCGGUGAAUGUUCGAUUUUUGUACCAAAAAUGAGCGAUGAAUUUUCGAUUUUUGUACCAAAAAUGAGCGGUAAAUGUUCGAUUUUUGUACCAAAAAUGAGCGGUGAAUGUUCGAUUUUUGUACCAAAAAUGAGCGAUGAAUGUUCAAUUUUUGUACCAAAAAUGAGUGAUGAAUGUUCAAUUUUGUACCAAAAAUGAG
rnacentral:lncRNA from 1 species